GACUGUCUCUGUGUGUGGUGUGUAACUGUAUCUCUGUGUGUGUGAUGAUUGCUCUUGCCCUCCCUCCUGCCUACUUCCCCCCAACCCCAUCUCCUCUCACUUUGCCCUCCCAGUCUCCAUGCCCAGGAGUGUUUGAAUAACACAGGGCAACAGGAGUGAAUCUGAGCCGCCUUCUGCCCCCAAAGCAGCAAAACCCCUGACUCCACAAAAGGGCCACAAGAAUCGGGAGCCAGAGUGGGAGCAAAACUGUUAAUCUUCUAACUGAGCCCAGGCCAGCGGCGCAGAAGGGAAGAGGGCGGGACUCCGCCGGAUGAAGGUGGCGAAAGUUUUUCACUUUCCUUCCUGGGACCCCUCCCUCCUUCCCGCCCUGUCUCGGGGCAAAGAGGGAUCAUGGCAAAGACGCCGAGGGACCACCUGUUCGACACCGUUAGUGAGCUGGGCAAGUCGGACUUGAAGACCUUUAAAGACAAGCUGAACAAUUCCCAGCCCAAGCCAGGUUAUAACCGUAUCAAGUGGAGCCAGCUGGAAAAAGCAGACGCUGUAGAUAUCACUCGCCUGCUCGUCAGCUACUACGAGGAGGAUUACGCGGUGGAGGUGGCCGGGAAGGUGCUGGAGGACAUGGACGAGAAGAAGCUGGCACACAACCUGUUCCAGGCUACAGGGAAGGGUGUAGCUGACCCCACGCUCGGGAAACACAAGCCAGGCUUGUCCAGUGACGAAGAUUCAGGUCAGUCCCUGGGCCAGACACGCACUCCUACCAUGGUCAGCGCAUGGGCCCCGCAGCCACCCAGCCCAGCCUUCCACAGAUGGCAGAUUUGUUACGUCGCUUACAAGCUUUAAAAGAUGACAGCAAUGUCACGGAGCCACAGAAUGAUGUGAUGGCCCCCGCUUUGGAAACGCCUCAGUGAGCCAGACCCCCUCGGGGUAUCUCUCACUCUUCCUCCAGGGAGUCGCAUGAAAUGCUGAGCUAAACCCUUCCCAGCUGACGUCACACAGCGAAAGAGAUGCCUAACGCUGGCUUGAAGACCGUGCCCUGCUGCUCUACCUGCUACGGACGGCCCAGGGAACCCAGAGCCUUCUCAGUCGUACCAAGUGGCCACGAGAUUGCAUUCCAUAUUUUUGGUCAAUAAAAGGGGGCAAUUGUUUUAAUACCGAGAA